rnacentral:rRNA from 1 species
CUACACAUGCAAGUCGAACGGUAACAGGAAGCAGCUUGCUGCUUCGCUGACGAGUGGCGGACGGGUGAGUAAUGUCUGGGAAACUGCCUGAUGGAGGGGGAUAACUACUGGAAACGGUAGCUAAUACCGCAUAACGUCGCAAGACCAAAGAGGGGGACCUUCGGGCCUCUUGCCAUCGGAUGUGCCCAGAUGGGAUUAGCUAGUAGGUGGGGUAACGGCUCACCUAGGCGACGAUCCCUAGCUGGUCUGAGAGGAUGACCAGCCACACUGGAACUGAGACACGGUCCAGACUCCUACGGGAGGCAGCAGUGGGGAAUAUUGCACAAUGGGCGCAAGCCUGAUGCAGCCAUGCCGCGUGUAUGAAGAAGGCCUUCGGGUUGUAAAGUACUUUCAGCGGGGAGGAAGGCGAUAAGGUUAAUAACCUUGUCGAUUGACGUUACCCGCAGAAGAAGCACCGGCUAACUCCGUGCCAGCAGCCGCGGUAAUACGGAGGGUGCAAGCGUUAAUCGGAAUUACUGGGCGUAAAGCGCACGCAGGCGGUCUGUCAAGUCGGAUGUGAAAUCCCCGGGCUCAACCUGGGAACUGCAUUCGAAACUGGCAGGCUAGAGUCUUGUAGAGGGGGGUAGAAUUCCAGGUGUAGCGGUGAAAUGCGUAGAGAUCUGGAGGAAUACCGGUGGCGAAGGCGGCCCCCUGGACAAAGACUGACGCUCAGGUGCGAAAGCGUG